AGUGAACGCUGGCGGUAGGCCUAACACAUGCAAGUCGAACGGCAGCACAGUAAGAGCUUGCUCUUACGGGUGGCGAGUGGCGGACGGGUGAGGAAUACAUCGGAAUCUACUUUUUCGUGGGGGAUAACGUAGGGAAACUUACGCUAAUACCGCAUACGACCUACGGGUGAAAGCAGGAGAUCUUCGGACCUUUCGCGAUUGAAUGAGCCGAUGUCGGAUUAGCUAGUUGGCGGGGUAAAGGCCCACCAAGGCGACGAUCCGUAGCUGGUCUGAGAGGAUGAUCAGCCACACUGGAACUGAGACACGGUCCAGACUCCUACGGGAGGCCGCAGUGGGGAAUAUUGGACAAUGGGCGCAAGCCUGAUCCAGCCAUACCGCGUGGGUGAAGAAGGCCUUCGGGUUGUAAAGCCCUUUUGUUGGGAAAGAAAAGCAGCAGGUUAAUACCCCGCUGUUCUGACGGUACCCAAAGAAUAAGCACCGGCUAACUUCGCG
rnacentral:rRNA from 1 species